GAAGGAUCCUUAAAGAAAAACCUUAGCUUUUUUAUUGUGAAUGCAAAUUUUGCUUGGGUCGAGAAAUUGGCCCACAAACUAAUUAAAUUUUGUGGGUUUUAAAAUUAAAAAAAUUAAAACUUUCAACAACGGAUCUCUUGGUUCUCGCAUCGAUGAAGAACGCAGCGAAACGCGAUAUGUAAUGUGAAUUGCAGAAUGUGAAUCAUCGAAUCUUUGAACGCACAUUGCGCCCUCUGGUAUUCCAGAGGGCAUACCUGUUUGAGCGUCAGUUCUUUCUCAAAGGAAACUUUGGUAUUGGCUGAAUAAGAGUAUCGGCUUAAAGAAAUUGGUUAGAAAUGAUGUAAUAAGAUUUCAUCAGGCUAACUGUAAAACUUUUUUAACGUUGACCUCAAAUCAGGUAAAACUCCCCGCUGAACUUAACCAUAUCAUUAAGCGGAGAAAA
rnacentral:rRNA from 1 species